GACCGUGCAAAGGUAGCGCAAUCACUUGUCUCUUAAAUGGAGACCUGUAUGAAAGGCACCACGAGGGCUUAGCUGUCUCCCCUUUAAAGUCAAUGAAAUUGAUCUCCCCGUGCAGAAGCGGGGAUAUACUCGUAAGACGAGAAGACCCUAUGGAGCUUAAGACACAAAGCGGCCCAUCUGAAACACACCCCUCCCGGGGGGCUGAAUGAGAUGAGCCCCGCUGGAAUGUCUUCGGUUGGGGCGACCGCGGGGAAAGACAAAACCCCCGCAUGGAUGGGGGUACUACUCCCCCUAAAACCUAGACCCACAGGUCAAACCAACAGUAUUUCUGACCACCAAAGAGCCGGCUUUGCCGAUCGACGGACCGAGUUACCCUAGGGAUAACAGCGCAAUCCCCUCCCAGAGCCCUUAUCGACAGGGGGUUUACGAACCUCGAUGUUGAUCAGGACAUCCUAAUGGUGCAG
rnacentral:rRNA from 1 species